AUUGAACGCUGGCGGCAGGCCUAACACAUGCCAGUCGAGCGGAUGAAGGGAGCUUGCUCCUGGAUUCAGCGGCGGACGGGUGAGUAAUGCCUAGGAAUCUGCCUGGUAGUGGGGGAUAACGUCCGGAAACGGGCGCUAAUACCGCAUACGUCCUGAGGGAGAAAGUGGGGGAUCUCCGGACCUCACGCUAUCAGAUGAGCCUAGGUCGGAUUAGCUAGUUGGUGGGGUAAAGGCCUACCAAGGCGACGAUCCGUAACUGGUCUGAGAGGAUGAUCAGUCACACUGGAACUGAGACACGGUCCAGACUCCUACGGGAGGCAGCAGUGGGGAAUAUUGGACAAUGGGCGAAAGCCUGAUCCAGCCAUGCCGCGUGUGUGAAGAAGGUCUUCGGAUUGUAAAGCACUUUAAGUUGGGAGGAAGGGCAGUAAGUUAAUACCUUGCUGUUUUGACGUUACCAACAGAAUAAGCACCGGCUAACUUCGUG
rnacentral:rRNA from 1 species